GACCCUGUAGAUAAGUGGUUACAUCGUCGGGUUUUCAGUCCGAAGGCAGGAGUUCGAUUCUCCUCAGGGUUA
rnacentral:tRNA from 1 species